rnacentral:lncRNA from 10 species
AAAACAUUAAGUCUAAACCAUCUUCAGUCAGGGAUCGUCUGAAUAUGCAAUUUCAAUACUGUGUUUUUCUGUCUCCGGAAGAAAAUAUACCAAAUAGUUAUCAGUAAUUAUCUCAGAAUUAGAGAUGACUUUCUCCUUUAACUUUUUGUAUCUUCCUAAUUUUCUACAGUAAUAAUGCAAAGGGGGAGUUCAGAGAAGGUUUUCUUUUUCUUUUUUUUUUUUGGUAGAGAUGGGGUCUCACUAUGUUGUCCAGGCUGGUUUCAAACUCCUGGCCUCAAGCAAUUUUCCUAUCUCAGCUUCCCAAACACUGGGAUAACAGGCAUGAGCCACUGCACCUGACGAAGGAGGAGCAUAUUUUUUAAGCAAUAGCCAUUGGCACCUUAGAUUCAGCCCCCAACCCAGCACUGUGGCCUGUCAUCCUCAAAGCUGUCCCAGACAUUGGGCCUGUGGAGCUCCCAGGAGUGGUCACUUUGGUGUAUAAGCUGCUUUGGGCCAUCAUGAAAUGAUUCUCUUCCCUCAGAUUCUCACAGUCAGAGGACCCAGGAGCAAGCAAGGAGAUUCUACCAUCUUCAAAGCAGAAAAGUUACUUUUGGCCAUGGCAGAAUCGUAUAAAUGUUAGUUUCUGUUUACAAAGAGGAGGGUGAGGCGCCAGGAGGAGCCUCUGCCAGCCAAUGUGGAUAUACUUUGAUCCUUCAAAUAUACUACACAUUAAAAUGUCUCUACCCUAAGGCAUUGACAGGGCCAGAAAAUAAAAUGUCUUAUCAGUCAACUGGUGUCAAGGCAAAUCUAAUGACAAUUCACUCCUUGAAAUCUACACAAAAGGCUUUCAAAACAAGUUUAUAUCUAAAAUCCUCCUGACUCAUGAUCAGAUGUAUUUUAACAAUCAGUUAACAAAGUAUAUGCAAAA